ensembl:lncRNA
GACUAAACCAGGACUAAACCAGGACUAAACCAGGACUGAACCAGGACUAAACCAGGACUAAACCAGGACUGAACCAGGACUAAACCAGGACUAAACCAGGACUGAACCAGGACUAAACCAGGACUAAACCAGGACUAAACCAAGACUAAACCAGGACUCAACCAGGACUAAACCAGGACUAAACCAGGACUAAACCAGGACUAAACCAGGACUAAACCAGGACUAAACCAGGUCUAAACCAGGACUAAACCAGGACUAAACCAGAACUAAACCAGGACUAAACCAGGUCUAAACCAGGACUAAACCAGGACUAAACCAGGACUAAACCUGGACUGAACCAGGACUAAACCAGGUCUAAACCAGGACUAAACCAGGACUAAACCAGAACUAAACCAGGACUAAACCAGGUCUAAAUCAGGACUAAACCAGGACUAAACCAGGUCUAAACCAGGUCUAAAUCAGGACUAAACCAGGACUAAACCAGAUCUAAACCAGGACUAAACCAGGACUAAACCAGGACUAAACCAGGACUAAACCAGG